UUUUAUUUGAGAGUUUGAUCCUGGCUCAGGAUGAACGCUGGCGGCGUGCCUAACACAUGCAAGUUGAGCGAUUUACUUCGGUAAAGAGCGGCGGACGGGUGAGUAACGCGUGGGUAACCUACCCUGUACACACGGAUAACAUACCGAAAGGUAUGCUAAUACGGGAUAAUAUAUUUGAGAGGCAUCUCUUGACUAUCAAAGGUGAGCCAGUACAGGAUGGACCCGCGUCUGAUUAGCUAGUUGGUAAGGUAACGGCUUACCAAGGCGACGAUCAGUAGCCGACCUGAGAGGGUGAUCGGCCACAUUGGAACUGAGACACGGUCCAAACUCCUACGGGAGGCAGCAGGGGGGAAUAUUGCACAAUGGGCGAAAGCCUGAUGCAGCAACGCCGCGUGAGGGAUGAAGGACUUCGGGUCGUAAAACUCUGUCCUCAAGGAAGAUAAUGACGGUACUUGAGGAGGAAGCCCCGGCUAACUACGUGCCAGCAGCCGCGGUAAUACGUAGGGGGCGAGCGUUAUCCGGAUU
rnacentral:rRNA from 1 species